AACAAGGCGUACCUGCGGACCUGCGGAGGGAUCAUUACCGAGUUUACAACUCCCAAACCCAAUGUGAACGUUACCAAACUGUUGCCUCGGCGGGAUCUCUGCCCCGGGUGCGUCGCAGCCCCGGACCAAGGCGCCCGCCGGAGGACCAACCAAAACUCUUUUGUAUACCCCCUCGCGGGUUUUUAUAUCUGAGCCAUCUCGGCGCCUCUCGUAGGCGUUUCGAAAAUGAAUCAAAACUUU
rnacentral:misc_RNA from 1 species